rnacentral:rRNA from 1 species
AUUGAACGCUGGCGGCAGGCCUAACACAUGCAAGUCGCACGAGUGGCGGACGGGUGAGUAAUGUCUGGGAAACUGCCUGAUGGAGGGGGAUAACUACUGGAAACGGUAGCUAAUACCGCAUACCAUCGGAUGUGCCCAGAUGGGAUUAGCUAGUAGGGGGGGUAAAGGCUCACCUAGGCGACGAUCCCUAGCUGUUCUGAGAGGAUGACCAGCCACACUGGAACUGAGACACGGUCCAGACUCGUACGGUAGGCAGCAGUGGGGAAUAUUGCAAAAGGGGAGCAAGCCUGAUGCAGCCAAGCCGCGUGUAUGAAGAAGGCCUUCGGGUUGUGAAGUGCUUUCAGCAGGGAGGCGUUACCCGCAGGAGAAGCACCGGCUAACACCGUGCCAGCAGCCGCGGUAAUUC